rnacentral:rRNA from 1 species
GCUUAACACAUGCAAGUCGAGCGCCCCGCAAGGGGAGCGGCAGACGGGAGAGUAACACGUGGGAACGUGCCCUUCAGUUCGGAACAACCCAGGGAAACUUGGGCUAAUACCGGAUACGUCCGAAAGGAGAAAGAUUUAUCGCUGAAGGAUCGGCCCGCGUCUGAUUAGCUUGUUGGUGGGGUAACGGCCCACCAAGGCUACGAUCGGUAGCUGGUCUGAGAGGAUGAUCAGCCUCACUGGGACUGAGACACGGCCCAGA